rnacentral:rRNA from 1 species
AGAGUUUGAUCCUAGCUCAGGAUGAACGCUGGCGGCGUGGAUAAGGCAUGCAAGUCGAAUGCUCGCAAGAGCAUGGCAGACGAGGUAGUAACGCGUAGAUACGUACCCCGAAGUCGGGCAUAACCCAUCGAAAGGUGGGAUAAUUCCCGAUAAUCCCGCGAGGGCAAAGUUUUUCGCUUCGGGAACGGUCUGCGUAGUAUCAGCUAGUUGGUAGGGUAACGGCCUACCAAGGCGACGACGCUUAGGGGAGCUGAGAGGCUAACCCCCACCGAUGGCACUGCGAUACGGGCCAUACACCUACGGGUGGCUGCAGCCGAGAAUAUUCGACAAUGGGCGAAAGCCUGAUCGAGCGACGCCGCGUGAUGGAUGAAGCCUUUAGGGGUGUAAACAUCUUUUGCCGGGGAAGAAAUUAUUGACACUACCCGGAGAAUAAGGGGUUGCUAACUCUGUGCCAGCAGCAGCGGUGAUACAGAGACCCCGAGCGUUAUCCGGAAUUAUUGGGCGUAAAGGGUGCGCAGGCGGUCUUGUUAGUCUCUUGUCAAAUGUAUCGGCUCAACCGGUACCUCGCGGGAGAUACGGCAAGACUUGAGGAUGUGAGAGGUGUGCGGAACUCAUAGUGUAGGGGUGAAAUCCGUUGAUAUUAUGGGGAACACCAAAUGCGAAGGCAGCACACUGGCACAUUCCUGACGCUCAUGCACGAAAGCGUGGGGAUCGAACGGGAUUAGAUACCCCGGUAGUCCACGCCCUAAACGAUGUUCUCUCGCUUUUCGGAGUAUCGACCCUCUGGGAGGCUAAGCUAACGCGUUAAGAGAACCGCCUGGGGAGUACGGCCGCAAGGCUAAAACUCAAAGGAAUAGACGGGGACCCGCACAAGCGGUGGAGCAUGUGGUUUAAUUCGACGAUACACGAAGAACCUUACCUGGACUUGACAUAGUAAGAACUUUCUAGAGAUAGAUUGGUGUCUGCUUGCAGAAACUUAUAUACAGGUGCUGCACGGCUGUCGUCAGCUCGUGUCGUGAGAUGUUGGGUUAAGUCCCGCAACGAGCGCAACCCUCGUGUUUAGUUGCUAACAGUUCGGCUGAGAACUCUAAACAGACUGCCUACGCAAGUAGGAGGAAGGUGAGGACGACGUCAAGUCAUCAUGGCCCUUACGUCCAGGGCUACACACGUGCUACAAUGGGAUAUACAAAGAGCGGCAAUACGGUGACGUGGAGCAAAUCUUAUAAAAUAUCUCCCAGUUCGGAUUGUAGUCUGCAACUCGACUACAUGAAGUUGGAAUCGCUAGUAAUCGUAGAUCAGCUAUGCUACGGUGAAUACGUUCCCGGGUCUUGUACUCACCGCCCGUCACACCAUGGGAGUCGAACUCAUUCGAAGCGGGGAUGCUAAAAUAGCUACCUUCCACAG